rnacentral:rRNA from 1 species
UACGUAGGGGGCAAGCGUUGUCCGGAUUUACUGGGCGUAAAGAGCGCGUAGGCGGAAGGUGAAGCGUGGCCUGAAAGCCCCCGGCUCAACCGGGGAAGGCGGCUGCGAACUGGCCUUCUUGAGGGCGAUAGAGGGGGGCGGAAUUCCUGGUGUAGCGGUGGAAAUGCGUAGAGAUCAGGAGGAACACCCGUGGCGAAGGCGGCCCCCUGGGUCGGCCCUGACGCUGAGCGCGAAAGCGUGGGGAGCGAAGCGGG